UGGGGAAUAUUGCACAAUGGGGGAAACCCUGAUGCAGCGACGCCGCGUGAAGGAAGGAGUAUCUCGGUAUGUAAACUUCUAUCAGCAGGGAAGAUAAUGACGGUACCUGACUAAGAAGCCCCGGCUAACUACGUGCCAGCAGCCGCGGUAAUACGUAGGGGGCAAGCGUUAUCCGGAUUUACUGGGUGUAAAGGGAGCGUAGACGGAGAGGCAAGUCUGAUGUGAAAGGCGGGGGCUCAACCCCCGGACUGCAUUGGAAACUGUAUUUCUUGAGUGCCGGAGGGGUAAGCGGAAUUCCUAGUGUAGCGGUGAAAUGCGUAGAUAUUAGGAGGAACACCAGUGGCGAAGGCGGCUUACUGGACGGCAACUGACGUUGAGGCUCGAAAGCGUGGGGAGCAAACAGG
rnacentral:rRNA from 1 species